CGUAGGCUUUCAACGUGCGCUGGCAGAGGGCGGAGCGUACGCAGUCGUCUUUAUUAAAGCGCACCACACCAAUCAUCUCGUCCUCUUCAAAACGUGCCAGUGCAUCGCUCAGCCCCGAUUUAACUCCGGAGGGCAGAUCGCACUGGGUGAUAUCGCCGUUGACAAUCACGGUCACGUUUUCCCCGAGGCGCGUC
rfam:Enterobacter cloacae S611 EDP2.NODE_1923, whole genome shotgun sequence.